rnacentral:rRNA from 1 species
UGAGGAAUAUUGGUCAAUGGGCGCAAGCCUGAACCAGCCAUCCCGCGUGCAGGAAGACGGCCCUAUGGGUUGUAAACUGCUUUUCCAGGGGGAGAAUUUUUCUGUCGUGACAGGAAUUGACGGUACCCUGGGAAUAAGCAUCGGCUAACCCCGUGCCAGCAGCCGCGGUAAUACGGAGGAUGCGAGCGUUAUCCGGAUUUAUUGGGUUUAAAGGGUGCGUAGGCGGAUUGAUAAGUCAGUGGUGAAAACCUGCAGCUUAACUGUAGACUUGCCGUUGAUACUGUCAGUCUUGAGUGUGGUCAAGGUAGGCGGAAUGUGUAAUGUAGCGGUGAAAUGCUUAGAUAUUACACAGAACACCGAUUGCGAAGGCAGCUUGCUGGGCCAUCACUGACGCUCAUGCACGAAAGCGUGGGGAUCGAACAG